GAUGAACGCUGGCGGCGUGCCUAAUACAUGCAAGUCGAGCGAACAGACGAGGAGCUUGCUCCUCUGACGUUAGCGGCGGACGGGUGAGUAACACGUGGAUAACCUACCUAUAAGACUGGGAUAACUUCGGGAAACCGGAGCUAAUACCGUAUAAUAUAUUGAACCGCAUGGUUCAAUAGUGAAAGACGGUUUUGCUGUCUCUUAUAGAUGGAUCCGCGUCGCAUUAGCUAGUUGGUAAGGUAACGGCCUACCAAGGCAACGAUGCGUAGCCGACCUGAGAGGGUGAUCGGCCACACUGGAACUGAGACACGGUCCAGACUCCUACGGGAGGCAGCAGUAGGGAAUCUUCCGCAAUGGGCGAAAGCCUGACGGAGCAACGCCGCGUGAGUGAUGAAGGUCUUCGGAUCGUAAAACUCUGUUAUUAGGGAAGAACAAAUGUGUAAGUAACUAUGCACGUCUUGACGGUACCUAAUCAGAAAGCCACGGCUAACUACGUG
rnacentral:rRNA from 1 species